CCCUUAGAUGUUCUGGGCCGCACGCGCGCUACACUGAUGCAUUCAACGAGUCCAACCUUGACCGAGAGGUCCGGGUAAUCUUUGAAACUGCAUCGUGAUGGGGCUAGAUUAUUGCAAUUAUUAAUCUUCAACGAGGAAUGCCUAGUAAGCGUGAUUCAUCAAAUCGCGUUGAUUACGUCCCUGCCCUUUGUACACACCGCCCGUCGCUCCUACCGAUUGAGUGUGUUGUUGAGGAGUUUGGAUUGGCCUCGGAAGGUGGUUCGCCACCGUCCGUAGCUGAGAAGUUCUCCAAACCGCCCCACUUAGAGGAAGGAGAAGUCGUAACA
rnacentral:rRNA from 1 species